UACAGAGGGGGCAAGCGUCGUUCGAAAUUACUGGGCGUAAAGGGCGCGUAGGCGGCCCGCUAAGUCGAACGUGAAAUCCCCGAGCUCAACUCGGGAACUGCGUCCGAUACUGGCGGGCUGAAUCCGGGAGAGGGAUGCGGAAUUCCAGGUGUAGCGGUGAAAUGCGUAGAUAUCAGGAAGAACACCAAUGGCGAAAGCAGCUCUCUGGGACGGUACUGACGCUGAGACGCGAAAGCGUGGGGAGCGAACAG
rnacentral:rRNA from 1 species